rnacentral:rRNA from 11 species
ACCCUUUAAUGUUUGAUGUUCUAACGUGGACCCGUAAUCCGGGUUGCGGACAGUGUCUGGUGGGUAGUUUGACUGGGGCGGUCUCCUCCUAAAGAGUAACGGAGGAGCACGAAGGUUGGCUAAUCCUGGUCGGACAUCAGGAGGUUAGUGCAAUGGCAUAAGCCAGCUUGACUGCGAGCGUGACGGCGCGAGCAGGUGCGAAAGCAGGUCAUAGUGAUCCGGUGGUUCUGAAUGGAAGGGCCAUCGCUCAACGGAUAAAAGGUACUCCGGGGAUAACAGGCUGAUACCGCCCAAGAGUUCAUAUCGACGGCGGUGUUUGGCACCUCGAUGUCGGCUCAUCACAUCCUGGGGCUGAAGUAGGUCCCAAGGGUAUGGCUGUUCGCCAUUUAAAGUGGUACGCGAGCUGGGUUUAGAACGUCGUGAGACAGUUCGGUCCCUAUCUGCCGUGGGCGCUGGAGAACUGAGGGGGGCUGCUCCUAGUACGAGAGGACCGGAGUGGACGCAUCACUGGUGUUCGGGUUGUCAUGCCAAUGGCACUGCCCGGUAGCUAAAUGCGGAAGAGAUAAGUGCUGAAAGCAUCUAAGCACGAAACUUGCCCCGAGAUGAGUUCUCCCUGAGACUUAGAGUCUCCUGAAGGAACGUUGAAGACGACGACGUUGAUAGGCCGGGUGUGUAAGCGCAGCGAUGCGUUGAGCUAACCGGUACUAAUGAACCGUGAGGCUUAACCUUACAACGCCGAAG